GAAUCUGCGGGCUAGGUGGGUGGCUCGCCAACCUGGACGAAGGGAAAUGAGGACCGCGGCUCCCGGGCGCGAGUAGGCGCGUGGAGUCCAGGGGCUUCACCGCCGCACCUCCUUCUCCUCCUGGAGCUGGAGACUGCACAGCGGCGGGCGCACCAGCAGCAGCGACGACCCUGAGCGCAGGUGGCAGUGUAGAAGCCAAACCGGGAGCUUCCAGAAGUGGCUUCUGAAAGAGUCCAAUGUACAUGAGUAAGCAAGCACAGGAAUCCUAAAAGCCACAGGCCCACUAAUUUGCCUGCUUGACUAAAAUAAGGACCAGUUAUGUGCCAAUGAGAGACAAGUUUGUAAUCUUAUUCAUUGUGACACAGUUCAAAAGAAUUUGCCUUUGAUUCUCAUUAAAAUGUAAACAUUUUGCAUAUUACCAUUACCAUCUUUUUCAACAGCUGAGCAACUCUUUAUGAUGAAGGGCAGAAGACGACAAAGGGAAGAAAACGCUUACCUUUGUUGGCUUUUACUUUCUUUCUUGGGAAUG